CCUACGGGUGGCAGCAGUGGGGAAUAUUGCACAAUGGGGGAAACCCUGAUGCAGCGACGCCGCGUGAGUGAAGAAGUAUUUCGGUACGUAAAGCUCUAUCAGCAGGGAAGAAAAUGACGGUACCUGACUAAGAAGCCCCGGCUAACUACGUGCCAGCAGCCGCGGUAAUACGUAUGGAGCAAGCGUUAUCCGGAUUUACUGGGUGUAAAGGGAGCGCAGACGGCAGGGCAAGUCUGAUGUGAAAGUCCGGGGCUAAACCCCGGGACUGCAUUGGAAACUGUCCGGCUAGAGUGCAGGAGAGGUAAGUGGAAUUCCUAGUGUAGCGGUGAAAGGCGUAGAUAUUAGGAGGAACACCAGUGGCGAAGGCGGCUUACUGGACUGUAACUGACGUUGAGGCUCGAAAGCGUGGGGAGCAAACAGGAUUAGAUACCCCUGUAGUC
rnacentral:rRNA from 1 species